UGGCGUGGCGGGGACCCCCACUUCUCUCUGCCCCUCUACAGCCUCUGCCCUCGCUGCUGCAGGGAGGGGGCUGGGGUCCCACUCACCCCUGCAGCGAGGAGAGGUGGGAAUAGCCUCCCUCUCCCCUCUCGCUUGUGUGUGGAUCUGCAGAGUGCAGGGCCGCCCUCACAGGGGCAUGCAGCAGAGGGCUAAUGGGCUGCUUGAGAUGUGGUUGCAGCAUGUUGCCUUCUCCCUCCACCAGGUUGUUGCCCUGGGGAGCUUUUUCUUCUUGUACUUGCAAGGUAUUGCUCACUGUUGCUUUGGGAAAGGGAGAGAGGGCUCUUUCUGCUUCUUGAUGAUGUCCAGCCUUUAGGAGAGACUGAGAUAAUGUGAAGACUGAAGUCUUCCUAGUGCUGCAAAUACUUUGUCCGAAAGCUUGUUAUAGCUAUCUUUUCGUACAGCCUUUUUGUUUUCACCUGCUGUCUGUGUUGAAGCAGUGUGUCUUAGGCUUAAAGGUAUUUUUAUGAGCCCAUGCUGCUUUUGAUUUUUAAAAAGGCCUUUCCCACAUAGUCCUCAAAAUCACAAUUACUUGCAUUUCAGCUGUAGAAAGGGUCAGAUAGUUCAUGCUGCACAUCUUGCAAUUAUUUAAUGGUUGCAGCAUAUUUAGAUCAAUGAAUGGAUAUUAGUUUUUAUAUGGGGUAUUAAAAAGCAAUAUUUUUCAAUUUAAGAAAUCCCUAGUAGUUGGAAUUAGAGCACUAAAGAUCCUUUAAAGAAGGAUUCGACUGUCUUAAAUGCCUGAGAGAUGAAACUGGGGCCAAUAACUGAAAGAACUUGUACUUGAGAAAGGAGUUCUGUUUCAGGAAGUGAGUAAGAGGAAAUGAUCUCAGGUUGACAUCACAGAGCAUAAUCCAUGUGUGUCGUGGUAUUUUUUUCUUUUAAUGACUUAUUUGUUCAUUUUGCAAGAAACGAUGUCUUGCCCUCACAAGAGAUCUCUGACUGUCUUCAGCAUAUACUGUAGCGUAUGGGAAUUGGGAAGGCAAUAAAAUUAUGGUGACUGCCAAGAUUGAGGAGAAAGGUCACAUUGCAGAAGAAAAUACUCUGUUUGCUUUUGUGGCUUUUUUGGGGGUGAAGAGAGGGACAAGUGGAGCUGCAUAGGCUUGAGACAAGAGACUUUCACAGUAAAAAACUUUCUAAAUGUGUGGGGGGAGAGCAGUAGUCUUCUAUGUAUUUGUAAGUAAAUCAUUAUCCGUAUAUCGAUUCCAGCCAAAGACUUUUGCAACUGCUUUUCAUGUUUUCCCAUUGAGUACCAUAUAGAUCUUGUGCUCCCAUUGUGCAUAUAAAACAUGCCUGUGUUUUGCUCAGAUACCAUCCAUUUUUAUCGCUACAUAAACCAAGUCAUAAUAACUAGGAAAUCUAUCACCUCUUUCUUUUGCAGUUUAUAAAGACGAUAAACCUUAUACCUAAGGUUAUAAAGUAGCUUAACUUAAAAACAAAUAUAUGUAAGGUUUUAAACUGUGCUGUCCAACUUGGUGAUCUAAAAGCUUUACUAUUUCUCAUUCCUUAAAGCAACUGCCUGUUUUCUGUUGUACCUUAGCUUUGUGGAGAGCUGGAUAAAUUUAAAAGAUCAUCAAGCUAUGACAAAAAACACUUAUUCUGAAGAAGAGAGCUGCAAGCUUGACUUGAGGAAAAAAACCAAGACAGAAUAAAGAAGCAAAAGAGAACCUGUAAGACUCUAACCCAUCUGAAAAAACUUGUUUCUAAAGAGCCAGAGAGAUUGAACCAGCUGAUUUCCCACUUGAGUCUCUCAUCAGCUUCUGAAAAUUGGUGAUAAUAAAGGGUAACAUCCAUAUUGUAAAAGGAGCUUCUGAUAAACUGCAGUAGCUUCAUGUUGGCCGCUGUCUAUUUGAGCGAUAGCCGAAUGGCUUAUUGAUCAUAUUUCUUCUCCAUAUGCUUGCACAUUUUUUUGAAGGUGAGGUAAUUUUGGCUAGAUACUUGUUUUGUGGGAUUUGGUCAUUUAGAUAGCUAUCAGGUGUCUUAGGGGCUUAACUGUAAUAUUGGUGCGGGGGAAGAUGGGGGAUUUAAAUCAUUAUGAUUAUGCUGGUAUAACUCAGCCUAGUGAGUUCUCUUAUUACAUUUAAAAAGCCUUUUUCCAAUAGUUUCGUAAGCAGUAAUUUGAGAGUACAUUUUAGAAAAACCAAACAAACCCAGACCUUCCAAAACCAAGAGUGUUCUUCUAGAAGAAAAAUGGGUUGCUUUGCAGUUAUGCUUGUAUACUGAAAUGGGUUUAAUUAUGCCGACCCGAGCUGUUCUGUGUAAGCAAAUGACUUGUGACUUCAGCACCUUGAUCCUGAAAGAAAUAACAAAAAGCAGUUGCCAUGGGUGGAAAGGUCUGUUCUGUGCUUCUUCAUUUUGGGUCUACUUGGUCUAAUGAUUUUUAUCAUGUAUACAACUUGCUUUCACCAUUGUCUAAAGCUUAUUUAAAUGAGGUAUAGGUAGUCAGUAGGACAAGAAAAAUGGUCUUGCUUACUGGUUUCAGUGAUAGUAAAACAGUGAUACAGCAAUAUUCUGUAUUUAAAGCUGUAAGUACAAUACAGGAAUCAAUUCCACCUAGUAGUACACUCACAAAUAGCUGUGAUGUGGAAUCCUCCGAGAAGAAAUCAUUCUGUGUCUUUUGUAGAUCGUUUAUAUUGCAAGGAGUCUUGUGACCAUUUAUUUUUAACUCAGUUGAGUGCUUGUUUACCUUGUGAAGUGACAGUUUUAAUGUAAUUCUUUGUUAAACUUUCUUUUGAGGGAAGCAGUAUAUUAUCUAAGAAAAGCCAACUCAUAACUUUUUUUUCUAAAUUAGUUUCAUAUUUUUUCACAGAAUUUGGAUUGUCAUUGAGUUGUCCAAAAGUAAUUGAGGAAAAACACUGAAGCGUCCUUGACUAACCAGAUAUAGUCUGCUGAACAUACCGAUUUUGUCUGAAGUAAAAUUAAACUCGGUAUUUCUAAGGUGACUUAGAGGAGCAGCAACAAAACUUUGUUUUAUAGCUGCUUCUCUGUCUCUGAGCCUAGUAUGCUUUUUUAAUAUCUUGGUUAUUGAAUGUGGAGAGGCUUAUAUCUCUUGCCUGGGUGGUGCAUAUUUUAAUUUGAAGGUUUAAACUUUCUCAAAUAGAAUUUCUUAACCAGACUGUGCAGGUUGAAUUUUUUCUUUUCUAGAAGAGAAGGUCAUACCAUCAUACAGAAGUUGAUUUUUAUAGCUUGGGAUCUUAAUUUCAGAGGGUGAGCCAUUUGAGGGGUAAUUUUUAAUCUUUUGGGUACCUUGAAGUUUAAAAAGGGCUCACUUUGGAGCCAUGAGAGGAAAAUACAGAAAGAGCAAGAAAUACAGGAAUCUGUAUUAUAUUCUACAUGCAGAACUAAUUGUUGCUGCAUCUGAAUUACAGAGAAUCAUCUUGCUGAGUUCAGGAGGGCAUUUUGGCAGGCUGACAGCAGGGUUGGGUUUGAGCCUUAUAUUGAAUGACUUGCCACAGUUCGGCAUAUCGAAAUACAUUUUAUUGGAAUUUAAUUCAUUUUUCUCCAUGUGUCCUGGCAGUAAGAAACAUAUGAACUAUAAGCAUACUAAUACACUUCUACACGACUGUAUUGACUGUUAAUUUUCUGUGGCCUAAAAUCAUCCUCUGCAUGGGGAGGGGAAAAUAAGAAUGUGCCAUUGUCUGCUGCCUUGAUGUGUAAAGACCUGCAAGACAAGCCUAAAGGUUUUUCUAGCUUAAAAUUUAAGACCUGCCUUUGACUCUGACUGGAAAAGCAAUUAAAUGGACUGUGAGCUAAGUGUGAAAGUUGAGUAAUGGAGGAAAGAAGGGUUUGUAGUUGGUUUUUUUAAAUGUUCUACUAUUGUUAAAAUCUGUUUAACAUCAGUGACUGGCGUUUCUAAGAGGGCGCCCUUGAUCAAAGAUUCAGCAUGAGUAUUUGUAAGACUGAGAUCUAACAAUGUUCUUUGGAGGUGAUAGAAUAUCAUCAAAUAAAACCAGAGAAAAUUCGAGUUGGCAGUCUUUAAUUCCUUUUUAUUUUUUUUUAAUAUGAAAGCUCUUUUGGGGUGGUUGGGGAAGGUUACAGUAUAAAGAGCAAAAAUCCCCAGACAGCACAGUUUAAAAGGUCUUGGAGGUCACCUCUAAUGAUGAGGCAAUGAUGUAAUUGGUUUGCAUUACAUUAUUCAAGUCAUCAUCUUUCCUCCACACUAAAGCUUUUAGUUUGUGUGGAGAAAUCAUGAGUAUGAACUAGGCAGUAGGCUUGCAUUAAGCUGUGAACUCUCAUUGCAUAAAACGUGAAGCAGGAUUCCACACCUGGGGUAAUUCUGAAGCUAUUUGGCCUUUUCAGAGUUGACUAAGCUAUCUGUGUCGAUUGUGGCUCCUUUGGUCAAGCUGUGUAUUGCUCUUCUUACUAAGCUAACCCAACUGGAGUUUUAGAAUAGGAUAAGAAUCUGUCCAAGGGUAGUCAAGGCUGACUUUGUUUAUGUUCCUGACCUGCUUG